GCAGCGCAGGGACACACAGCCACCUCUAGCACAAACCCUGCACGAGGAGUACUCCAGACUUUGAGGGCCUCAGCUCCCACGGCAUGGCUUCCCAGGGCCAGUUUGUUACUGAGUUGGCAGCUUUAGAAUUAGCUGAGAGAAAUCUGCUGUUCUGUUUCCUCUUGAAUUCACACAGCUCCUUUUUCUCUGCAGCUUAACUGGAGCUUGAAGAACAGCUGAAAUCCAGAAGACAUCUCUUCAGGACAGUAACAUUUUCUCCGAUGGAAUAGCUGGAGAAAGGGGAAAAAUGCUUCAGGUUGAGGCACAAUACAGCUCCUACAAGCAACCAGGAAUGGUAUCAGAACACCAGAGGUAUCCGGAGCAACCAGAGAGCGUUGUGCUUCUCCUACAUGUACAGAUGUAGAGCAGCUGCUGAGCCCCACGCUUAUGGGGAGUGUGGGUCCUCUGCCCCCACCUGAGGGAGAGCUUCUGGGUUGGAAGGCUCAGGGCCCCUCCGCUGUGGGUGGGAAUGGAGCAUUGAUGUGGGUCCUCUGUCAGGUUUGCUGGGUGGUACCCCUGUAAAACAGGUAUAUAUUUUCUAGAGGGUAGCAGGCAUUAAGUGCUUGUUUUUCUUCUGUAGCUGUAUGAGAUCAAUUACCUAUUGCACUGUGCUGAUGUAGUCUGGAAGUAAUGACAUUCUCUUUUAGCUGCAGCAUUCAGGGUUUGGUGGGGUGCAGGUCAAGAAAGCAAUGGAGGUGUGCUCAGCAGGCUGUGCAAAGGGACUCCUGAGCCCGUGCUCUGCUCCCGUCCUUCAGCAGCUGAUGAUGCCCUGGUAGACUCACAGGCUCCCACAGGCUUUUCUCUAUCUUCUUCUCAAUGGGAAUAAAGGUCCCUCAACUCUU